GGGAGAUUUGCGAUCCUAGGUGUAGUUGUCACCUAUACUAAUUUUAAAAACUUCCUAGUGCAUCAAUAUUAGAUUCUAGUAGAUCGAUAAAUUUUGAGUUUAAUGGUAGUGUUUUUUGUUAAUAGAAGUGCUCGCUGAAAGUUGAAAUAAAAAAAGUGUGCCAUUCUAGAGCCUUGCACCUAGAACAAGGCGCAUGCCUAAGCGCAUAGGGUAAGGGCUUCGUUAAUGUCGCUUGCUUUUCUCCUGUAGAGGUGCUAGG
rnacentral:misc_RNA from 1 species